rnacentral:rRNA from 1 species
UGUAGGCGGCCAAGCAAGUCAGAGGUGAAAGCCCUGGGCUCAACCUGGGAACUGCCUUUGAAACUGUUUGGCUUGAGACCGGAAGAGGAUGGCGGAAUUCCCAGUGUAGAGGUGAAAUUCGUAGAUAUUGGGAAGAACACCGGUGGCGAAGGCGGCCAUCUGGUCCGGUUCUGACGCUGAGGCGCGAAAGCGUGGGGAGCAAACA